rnacentral:rRNA from 1 species
AUUGAACGCUGGCGGCAGGCCUAACACAUGCAAGUCGAGCGAGCGGCGGACGGGUGAUUAAUGUAUGUGGACUUUCCGAUAGAGGGGGAUAACUACUGGCAACGGUAUCUAAUACCGCAUACUAUCGGAUAACCCAUAUGGGAUUAGCUAGUAGGUUAGGUAAUGGCUCACCUAGUCUACGAUCCCUAGCUGGUCUGAGAGUAUGAUCAGCCACCAUGGGACUGAGACACGGCCCAGACUCCUACGGAGGCAGCAGUGGGGAAUAUUGCACAAUGGGCGCAAGCCGGAUGCAGCCAUGCCGCGUGUAUGAAGAAGGCCCUAGGGUUGUAAAGUACUUUCAGUCGGGAGGCGUUACCGACAGAAGAAGCACCGGCUAACUCCGUGCCAGCAGCCGCGGUAAUUC